CUUGCAAUUUUUUCAUCAUUUUGCUCAAAACUUGCUUACAGGAGGCCCAUGACAAGUCAAGAUCUGUGACCAAGGCUCCUGCCAUGAAGGGUUAGUAUAAUUCUAGUCUAUUUUCUUAGUUUCUUCCUAUAACAAUAACCUACAUAUCAAUAUAUACCUGCAAAUCUAUAAGAUAUAUUUUUCAAGGGAUCCACACAAUAGAAGAUAGAAAAGGAAUUGAGGGUUAAGAUAAUAAUACCUACUUCAAAAGAAGAUGAUUUUGUUAGUAAGUUCUUCUGUUCCUGGCUGUACCUAAGUUACUGCCUAACUUGUAUGGAUCAAAUUGAAAUGUUUAUUUUCUAUUAUGCUUUCAUUUUAACUUUGAUAUGGUUAUGUCAUAGCUGAUUUAAUAUAAUUCAUUCAUAAUAUAAUAUAUUCAGUUCAUGAGUGUUUCUUAACUCUAUAUAUGUAGCACUUGAUUGAUUGAGAGACCAGCACAUAGUAAUUAUAUGUGCAGGAAUCUUUCAUUGGCUCAGUUGGUGGAUUUUCAUUUAAGUAGAGCCUCUUCCCUCUUACCAGCUUGACUCCUUACUACUGUGCCAUAAGGAAAUCCAAUAUCUAAAUGAUUUGUUGUAAUGGUCUUUUACAGCCAUUGAGGGCACUUCUGUUGAUAGUGUGAAUUCAGCUGUAGAAAAGAUAUAGGCUAUAAUUGGUAGCUAUUUACAUAAUCAAUAUAAAAUAUAGUUAUUUUUAUUGAUAUAAUAUAAUAUAAUUAGAUGCAUAUAUAAAAUUAUUUUAUAUAACUAAUAAUCAUCACUUAAAUUUAUUAAUUAAGUAUAUUUGUGUUUCGAAAUAAUAAUGCAAUUGUAUUAUAGGAAGUGCAAGGGUGGGACGGAUUGUUAUGAGUGCAGCAGCAGAGCAUCUGACACCUGUGAGUUUGGAGUUAGGAGGAAAGUGUCCAGCAUUGCUUUAUUAAACAAGACACAAAAAGAUCUGAAAAGGGAAAAAGAAUUUUUGUUUUCUUAUUAGUUUUGUUAAUUAACUUGAUUUGAUAUUUAUUGCUAUUAUAAUAGUGUUUGUCAUGUCGUAUUUCUUAAAUAGAUUAAAAUGUGUAGCUUUAAGACAUUUUUUUAUUUCUAGAAUAGAAACUGUUAUAUAUACCUUUUAAACAUUAAAACCUAGGGGAUCGGAGUUGCUAAAUAUUGGCUUCCUCUUCAACUUCUCACUUGCAGAAUUAUAGAAGGGUCAAUCAGUUCACAGCUUUAAUUUUUGUCAAACACUAAACAAAGAUUAGGUGUAGUGGAUUUUUAGGUGUUGAUUAGAUUAGGUUUAGUUAGAUUUGUUUUUUUCUGAUUUUAGUAAUUAGUUUGAUUUAAAAUUUGUUGUUGAAACUUUUUUCCUCAUGGUUUUUCAAUUUUUGGUGUUUUCUUUCACUGCACUAUCUUUUUUCUUUUGCUGCUGCUUCUUGCUGCAGUGUAAUAGUGAUCUUUCUACUUGGAGCUACAUCAAUGAUCAUGUUCAUUUUCAAUUUCAUAUAGGACAGUAAGUUUGACUUGCUUCAGUAAUAGCAUAUUCUGGUUGUUUAAUAAUGUAGAACAUAUGCAUCUAGAUUCUUUAAACUUUCUUACUUUUCAUUGUUAUAGGUGGUAUGCUUCACUUGGGAUGUAUGAUGUGGCUGUCAAGCAUAUGAUGAAAAUCUUGGCCUGCAGUCACCAGUCCAAGGCAACACAGGAAUUAUUCCUUAGUGACUUUCUUC
rnacentral:lncRNA from 1 species